AGCUCCCAUGGCGCCUGUUUAUCAAAAACAUGGUUUCUUGGUAAUUAUAAGAAAUCUAGCCUGCUCACUGCUUAAGUAAAGGGCCGCAGUAUUAUGACUGUGCUAAGGUAGCAUAAUCAUUUGUCUUUUAAAUGAAGUCUAGUAUGAAAGGUUGGAUUGGGGGGGAGCUGUCUCUUUAUUAUAAAAUGAAGUUAAUUAAUUAGUAAAAAGGCUAGUAUAAGUCUGAAAGACGAUAAGACCCUAUUAAGCUUGAUUUUAUAAUUUUACUGGGGCGGUAGAAUAAGAGUGGGAUCUUAUUAAUUGAAAGUGAAAUGUUAAAGACCCAAUAAUAUUGAGGAUUUGAUAAAGUUACUAUAGGGAUAACAGCUUAAUUUUUUCUUGAAGAUCUUAUUUAAGAAGAAGUUUGAGACCUCGAUGUUGAAUUAAAGUAUCUUGUAGACGUAGCAGUCUAUAUUGUAAGUCUGUUCGACUUUCAAA
rnacentral:rRNA from 1 species